CUACGGGCCGCUGCAGUGGGGAAUAUUGGGCAAUGGGCGCAAGCCUGACCCAGCAACGCCGCGUGAGGGAAGAAGGUUUUCGGAUUGUAAACCUCUGUCCUUGGGGACGAAGAAGUGACGGUACCCAAGGAGGAAGCUCCGGCUAACUACGCGCCAGCAGCCGCGGUAAUACGUAGGGAGCAAGCGUUGUCCGGAAUUACUGGGCGUAAAGGGUGCGUAGGCGGCAUAUUAAGUCAGGUGUGAAAUACUCGGGCUCAACCCGGGGGCUGCAUUUGAAACUGAUAUGCUUGAGUGUGCGAGAGGAAAGUGGAAUUCCUAGUGUAGCGGUGGAAUGCGUAGAUAUUAGGAGGAACACCAGUGGCGAAGGCGACUUUCUGGCUCAUAACUGACGCUGAGGCACGAAAGCGUGGGGAGCAAACAGGAUUAGAUACCCCUGUAGUC
rnacentral:rRNA from 1 species